rnacentral:sRNA from 1 species
CUGUCGUCCGCGGGGCGGGGACGCGGCGGCGGCGGUGGCGGCUGUGUGUCGCCGGAGCCGAAGCGCGCAGGCCCGUCCCGGUGGCCGGGGAGCGGGCGGGUGGGGGCGCCAUGUGGUUCAUGUACCUGCUGAGCUGGCUGUCGCUCUUCAUCCAGGUGGCCUUCAUCACGCUGGCCGUCGCGGCUGGACUCUAUUACCUGGCAGAACUGAUAGAAGAAUACACAGUGGCCACCAGCAGGAUCAUAAAAUACAUGAUCUGGUUCUCCACCGCUGUACUGAUUGGCCUCUACGUCUUUGAGCGCUUCCCCACCAGCAUGAUUGGAGUGGGCCUAUUCACCAACCUCGUCUACUUUGGCCUCCUCCAGACCUUCCCCUUCAUCAUGCUGACCUCGCCUAACUUCAUCCUGUCGUGUGGUGAGAGGGGACAGAGUUGGGGAGGCAGCUGAUGUGGUUGG